rnacentral:rRNA from 1 species
UACGUAGGUGGCAAGCGUUGUCCGGAUUUACUGGGCGUAAAGGGAGCGUAGGCGGACUUUUAAGUGAGAUGUGAAAUACCCGGGCUCAACUUGGGUGCUGCAUUUCAAACUGGAAGUCUAGAGUGCAGGAGAGGAGAAUGGAAUUCCUAGUGUAGCGGUGAAAUGCGUAGAGAUUAGGAAGAACACCAGUGGCGAAGGCGAUUCUCUGGACUGUAACUGACGCUGAGGCUCGAAAGCGUGGGGAGCAAACAGGAUUAGAUACCCCU